rnacentral:rRNA from 1 species
UACGGGGGGGGCAAGCGUUGUUCGGAAUCACUGGGCGUAAAGGGCGCGUAGGCGGCCGAUCAAGUCGGGGGUGAAAGCCUGUGGCUCAACCACAGAAUUGCCUUCGAUACUGUUUGGCUUGAGACCGGAAGAGGUUAGUGGAACUGCGAGUGUAGAGGUGAAAUUCGUAGAUAUUAGGAAGAACACCAGUGGCGAAGGCGGCUCACUGGCCCGGUACUGACGCUGAGGCGCGAAAGCGUGGGGAGCAAACGGG